rnacentral:rRNA from 1 species
GAUGAACGCUGGCGGCGUGCCUAAUACAUGCAAGUCGAGCGAACGGACGAGAAGCUUGCUUCUCUGAUGUUAGCGGCGGACGGGUGAGUAACACGUGGAUAACCUACCUAUAAGACUGGGAUAACUUCGGGAAACCGGAGCUAAUACCGGAUAAUAUUUUGAACCGCAUGGUUCAAAAGUAAAAGACGGUCUUGCUGUCACUUAUAGAUGGAUCCGCGCUGCAUUAGCUAGUUGGUAAGGUAACGGCUUACCAAGGCAACGAUGCAUAGCCGACCUGAGAGGGUGAUCGGCCACACUGGAACUGAGACACGGUCCAGACUCCUACGGGAGGCAGCAGUAGGGAAUCUUCCGCAAUGGGCGAAAGCCUGACGGAGCAACGCCGCGUGAGUGAUGAAGGUCUUCGGAUCGUAAAACUCUGUUAUUAGGGAAGAACAUAUGUGUAAGUAACUGUGCACAUCUUGACGGUACCUAAUCAGAAAGCCACGGCUAACUACGUGCCAGCAGCCGCGGUAAUACGUAGGUGGCAAGCGUUAUCCGGAAUUAUUGGGCGUAAAGCGCGCGUAGGCGGUUUUUUAAGUCUGAUGUGAAAGCCCACGGCUCAACCGUGGAGGGUCAUUGGAAACUGGAAAACUUGAGUGCAGAAGAGGAAAGUGGAAUUCCAUGUGUAGCGGUGAAAUGCGCAGAGAUAUGGAGGAACACCAGUGGCGAAGGCGACUUUCUGGUCUGUAACUGACGCUGAUGUGCGAAAGCGUGGGGAUCAAACAGGAUUAGAUACCCUGGUAGUCCACGCCGUAAACGAUGAGUGCUAAGUGUUAGGGGGUUUCCGCCCCUUAGUGCUGCAGCUAACGCAUUAAGCACUCCGCCUGGGGAGUACGACCGCAAGGUUGAAACUCAAAGGAAUUGACGGGGACCCGCACAAGCGGUGGAGCAUGUGGUUUAAUUCGAAGCAACGCGAAGAACCUUACCAAAUCUUGACAUCCUUUGACAACUCUAGAGAUAGAGCCUCCCCCUUCGGGGGACAAAGUGACAGGUGGUGCAUGGUUGUCGUCAGCUCGUGUCGUGAGAUGUUGGGUUAAGUCCCGCAACGAGCGCAACCCUUAAGCUUAGUUGCCAUCAUUAAGUUGGGCACUCUAAGUUGACUGCCGGUGACAAACCGGAGGAAGGUGGGGCUGACGUCAGAUCAUCAUGCCCCUUAUGAUUUGGGCUACACACGUGCUACAAUGGACAAUACAAAGGGCAGCGAAACCGCGAGGUCAAGCAAAUCCCAUAAAGUUGUUCUCAGUUCGGAUUGUAGUCUGCAACUCGACUACAUGAAGCUGGAAUCGCUAGUAAUCGUAGAUCAGCAUGCUACGGUGAAUACGUUCCCGGGUCU